rnacentral:tRNA from 1 species
UGCCCUCUUAGCUCAGUGGUUAGAGCAGCGGUCUUCGGAACCGGAGGUCGGGGGUUCGAAUCCCUCAGGGGGCAU